CCUAGAGGCGUCGGGGCUUCGUGGCUAGCAGGUGUGACCGAGUGAAUGAGACUUUGAAGUUGACGAUCGCGACAGAGAAGCGCAGAAUCAAGCUUUCUCACCGAAAAAACGCGGCUUAGCCUAAGCCAGUUUAGCAACCGUGCCAGAAACUUUGCCAUACAUUUCAUACUUCACGCCACUCCAGCCAAUGUCUCCUAAACAUUUACGAAAAGUGUGGCUCAUGCAGAGAUUGGAUUUUUGGUAGAAGAGUUUAAGGUUUAAAUAUGACAUAUUAUUGCAUUUUUCCGUGUUUUACUCAUGGACUAACGGGGAUCCGCAGAAUAUCCCAUUAAGAGAGAUGCCGAAAAACCUUAACUCGUCAACUGCUACGAAGCAAGGCAGAUAUCCGCGGUCUGGUCCUCUGGUCUGGGAAACGCAGCGUGUCCAUCACUGUGCUCAUAAGUGUUCUUGCAAAUAGUGUCCCUUCUCCCGUAGCUCGCUGGUGACAUGCAGUCUUUCAUAUCUCCAGUGACCAAGGCUAUUUUGGUGGCUUUGUUCAUUUUUGCCAUUUUACUAAUCCUUUAUGUAAUUUUAUGGUACAUAUGCCGGGACGUGGAUUGUGAUCACGGAAUCUGAUUUUGGAAACUAGACACAGAUCGGAGGAUACAAACGUCGUUUACCCUGACAUUGGAUAUCACGGAGGAGUCAGGGUGACCCUGACCGCAGUCCAAGGAGUUCCUUUGACAGGACUCUCUGGAAUACGACGGUGGAGUGAGACAAUCCUUUUAGGGCCCCACAGCAUGGAAGCCCAAAAUGGUCUCCGUGGCAAUGACCUGAUGCAGGGCACCAGCAUGGGGCUCCAGAAGGAGGAUCACAUGACGAACUGAAGACCCCUCAGACUAGAGCUGUGACAUUAUCUUCAUACUUGCCAGCUGUUCAUUCUCAAGGCCUCUGAGCUUGUGAUUUAUUUGAUAUGUGCAGUUAAAAAAAUUCAGUUUCAAUGCAAAUAUUUGCCCUUAGAAUAAAUUGGUAUGAUCCUACUGCAAAAUCUACACACGUACAUCAAAGAGCAGAGAAUUAUUGCUUUUUUCAGUCCCCUGGCAUCAAAUGGAUGUUUCCAACAAGGUCAAACUGUCCCAAAUUACAGGGUUCUUUGUUUUCUGCCAUGUAACUGCUCAAGGUCUGGUGAUGUUGUUCUGUCUUCCCGCACUAUUCGACUGUGAGGAGUCACAAAAUCAUGGGUUAAAUGACUUAAACUUUCAGUUGGAAUAAUUCAAUAUGACGUUCUGUAUGAGAGUGGGUUAUAGGUAAUAUGCAUCUGUUCACUGUGAACAUGUUCAUUUUGAUGUAGGCCUUCCAGGGAGAGAGCAGGUCACCUGCAUAAUUUAACUCGCGUUACCUAUGGGUGAUACUUCACUAAUAUUCUAGGUGUUCCUUUGGUGUAUUACUGUGUUUCAAGCUUGUAUGCGCUUUCAGUGAAAUAACUAUCAUGAAGAUCCUUGUUUUUUUUCUUUGUCAAAAUGUACGAUUGUUAAAAAUGUGAAAUGACUAUGCAUUUCACUCCAGUGCUAACCGGCUUUUUAUAAGCUGGAUGCUUCUUUUGGUGAUUUGCUGGUGUAAUGAUGUAAUGAAAAGGGAAUGUCAUAUUCUCUCUCUCUCAAUAUGCUUCGCCAUGCUCUCAGAGGACCGAACAGACGGACUGCCUGCUUGAGUGUUGAAGAGGUGGUGCAUUCAUGCUUAGACAGUAAUGUAUUGUAUCAGUUAUGCUGGCGGCCAUUUCUGCGAUGCUGCGAUGUUUGAGCUCUGGCACUAAAGGCCUGGGUCCCUUCAUGUAUACGUCACCCCCGCACUUCCAGACCUGAACUCACAACGCACAGCAGGUCACACUAAAUGCAUGAGCAGAUGUGAGAUCCAGCUUCAGUCCUUCUACUCUCCUCCCCAUGCUUAAAGAAAAUCAUGCAGUACGUUGAUUUCCAUUUACCUGCCCCCCCCUAGAAAGUGUGUUAUCUUUGUGUUUCCCCGCAACACCACAAAAUUGGCAAAGCAGUUCUGUCUGUUUCGAUUAAAAGUGGGAUCGUUCAGAAACAGGCUCAUGUGAAUGAUGUGGCCUGUUAACUAAACCAUAGCCACUGUGAGUGAUAUUUCCGCAUAAGCACUUCCUGCAUUGUAACUAAGUAUACUUGAGUGUUGCAUUAUUAAACUCUGUUCCAGAAUUAACAUGCUUGAAUAGUUACAAUGACCAUUAACAAUGAAUUUAGUUUGCUGAAAAUGGUGAUAUGUCAAAUAAAGUUAUUGCUUUGGUAUGACAAGAUAAUUUAGCCAAAUUUCAGUUUCUGUUCCUAAAGCAGCUAGUUUAUCUAUGAAAUAUCAGAAAUGUGACAGUCAUAUUUUCUUUUUAACUGUUAUAUUGGGUUCCCGACAAAAGAAUGAAAAAUGUAACCAUUUGAUCCACUUCCUGAAAAGUCAUGGAUCUUAGUAUCAUUCUUUUAUCAUUCUCAGACUUUACCUUUUCCAGGUUUUGUUUCGGUUUUGCCUAAAGCAUAUUUGUGAUUUCCUAUUCAAACGAGUCAAAACCAUUAGGAUUUCUCUGGAAAUGUUCUGCUGGAUUAGUGUAUAUGUUGCUAUUGCAUUCUAGCUUCAUUAAGAUGUUUGUUUGCAUUUCUGAAUGUUAUUCAAGUCAUUUAAAAAGCUCAUUGUUGUGGAUAUUUAUUAUCCAUUGUUGUCAUACAUGGGGACGUUGCCAUGUUGCACAGGAGCUCGUCUCGAGACGCCAAUCGUGUCAAGCAGCCAAAUUAAGAAGUGCCAUCUGUACAAGUACGUAUCUUAUGGAGACCAACUCCUCAGUGCUCUGGGUGAAGGGCAGGACGAGAAGCAAGUUACAACUGUUGUUAAAUGUAUUAUAUACUGUGUGUGUGAACAUGCCAAUUUUUAAAUUAUUUUGAGCCGAUGCAUUGAAGGUGAAUGUGAAAUGGUUUUGUUGGUGAUUCUAUUUGAAGAGAACUGCCUUGUUGUUAAGGUAUGCUUAGAAAUAUGCCUUCUUACAAACUUGCUAAAAUAAAAAGAAAGAAAAUA